CUACGGGAGGCAGCAGUGGGGAAUAUUGGACAAUGGGCGCAAGCCUGAUCCAGCCAUGCCGCGUGAGUGAUGAAGGCCCUAGGGUUGUAAAGCUCUUUCAGCGAGGAGGAUAAUGACGUUACUCGCAGAAGAAGCCCCGGCUAACUUCGUGCCAGCAGCCGCGGUAAUACGAAGGGGGCUAGCGUUGUUCGGAAUCACUGGGCGUAAAGCGCACGUAGGCGGACUUUUAAGUCAGGGGUGAAAUCCCGGGGCUCAACCUCGGAACUGCCUUUGAUACUGGAAGUCUUGAGGCCGAGAGAGGUGAGUGGAAUUCCGAGUGUAGAGGUGAAAUUCGUAGAUAUUCGGAAGAACACCAGUGGCGAAGGCGGCUCACUGGCUCGGUACUGACGCUGAGGUGCGAAAGCGUGGGGAGCAAACAGGAUUAGAAACCCUAGUAGUCC
rnacentral:rRNA from 1 species